AUAUUGAUAUAUACUUAGUCUAUAACUAAUUGUAAAUCAAUGUGAGCAAUAUUAAAUAAAAUCCCUCCAAGACAGACUCAUGAAGGCAUUAGUUUACAGCCUUGCAAUGCUGCUAAGUAAACAAAACCAGUUGAGUCUUUUCUCUUUCUCUCUCUCUCUCUUACAACACCCCCCACCUUCAGCUGCCAAAGUCAUGCACAGAGAGUCUGUGGAGGAGAAAAAGACAUACACAUAGAGGGCAGGGGCAGUAUAAUGAGUGUUUGUUGGAACUGAAAGGAACUAUUGGAAACAGAGCAGUGAGAAUGUAGGAAGACUGCAGGCAGUAAUUGAGCUCCUGAAUAGCGGAUCCAGAAGUGCAGUAUCAGGUGACCAGCUGCCCAGCUGCCCAGCUUUGUCUCGCCUCCCUCCUUAGGGACAGCUGGGGCCAUCAAUCUGUUCCCAAAAAACCUGCACUUCACCCUGUCUCCUAUGGUAAGCAUUGAGGGCCAUUAUUGUUCUCAAUGUGGGGCGUCCUCUGCGGUAAAGUCUCUGGCACACUUUUAAAGACAUAGUGGGUAAUAUAUGCAGGCCUGAGCCAGUGGCCCUGGCAAAAUCAUUCCCCUCCCCCUCCCGAGGCUUCUUUUCUUGGAAAAGAAGACAAACAUUUCAGCAGCAGACGUGUGAUUCUCAGCAUGCCAUCAGACCUGCCUAUUUGUUUUGGGC
ensembl:lncRNA